rnacentral:rRNA from 1 species
CCCGGUGGCGAUAGCGAAGUGGAAACACCUGAAAUCAUUCCGAACUCAGAAGUUAAGCACUUCAGCGGCGAAAAUAGUUGGGCCUGCCCCUGCGAACAUAGCACGCUGCCGGAU